GACGAACGCUGGCGGCGUGCCUAAUACAUGCAGGUUGAGCGCUGAAGGUUGGUACUUGUACCAACUGGAUGAGCAGCGAACGGGUGAGUAACGCGUGGGGAAUCUGCCUUUGAGCGGGGGACAACAUUUGGAAACGAAUGCUAAUACCGCAUAAAAACUUUAAACACAAGUUUUAAGUUUGAAAGAUGCAAUUGCAUCACUCAAAGAUGAUCCCGCGUUGUAUUAGCUAGUUGGUGAGGUAAAGGCUCACCAAGGCGAUGAUACAUAGCCGACCUGAGAGGGUGAUCGGCCACAUUGGGACUGAGACACGGCCCAAACUCCUACGGGAGGCAGCAGUAGGGAAUCUUCGGCAAUAGACGAAAGUCUGACCGAGCAACGCCGCGUGAGUGAAGAAGGUUUUCGGAUCGUAAAACUCUGUUGGUAGAGAAGAACGUUGGUGAGAGUGGAAAGCUCAUCAAGUGACGGUAACUACCCAGAAAGGGACGGCUAACUACGUG
rnacentral:rRNA from 1 species